rnacentral:lncRNA from 1 species
UCAAAAAAAAAAAAAAAAAAAAAAAAAAAAGGAAGUCUGUUAUUAACACCAGGAAUGAUCAUUGUCACUUUUUUUUGAGACAGAGUUUCACUGUUGUUGCCCAGGCUGGAGUGCAAUGGCCCACUGCAACCUCCACCUCCUGGGUUCAAGUUGUUCUCCUGCCUCAGCUUCCUGUGUAGCUACAGGUGCCCACAACCACACCCAGCUAAUUUUUGUAUUUUUAGUAGAGACGGGGUUUCACCAUGUUGGCCAGGCUGGUCUCGAACUCCUGACCUCAGGUGAUCCACCCGCCUCAGCCUCCCAAAGUGCUGGGAUUACAGGCGUGAGUCACGGUGUCCAGCCCAUUGUCACUUUUUACUGAGCACCUGCUAUCUACCAGGGAGUGUCAAAUGUGUAAAAAUGCUAUCAGUAUGCCUUCCAACAACUCUAUAGGGUGGGCAUUAUCACCCAUAUUAACAGAGAAGGAAAAUGAGGGUUUUUUCCUUUUUUGUUUGGUUGGUUGGUUUUGGUUUUGGUUACUGAGACAGGGUCAUACUCUGUCUCCCAGGCUGGAGUACAGUGGCAAGCCUCAUAGCUCACUGCAGCCUCAACCUCCCAGGCUCAAGUAAUCCCCCAAAGUAGCUGGGACUACAGGCAUGCACCACCAUGCCUGGCUUUUUUUUUUUUUUUUUUUUUUUAGAGGUGGAGUCUCACUAUGUUGCCCAGGCUGGUCUCAAACUCCUGUUCUCAAGCGAUCCUCCUGCCUCAGCCUCCCAAAGUGCUGAGGUUACAGGCGUGAGCCACUGCACCUGGCUAGGAAACUGAGUUUUUUCAGUGGUAGAGGCUCCUAGCCAGUGGCCAAGGGAAAGAGAGAGUUCUGGGUUCAGGGGCUGGCAGGAAGUUAGCAAGACACCAGGGACUCAGCUACACUGGCUGGAUCUCAGAGAAGAGCAACUGCCACAGUGGGGACCUGGAGCACAAGGGGAAACUGGGGCAGCAGCUGCACCACAGGGUUGGCGGUACCUGAUAAGGGAAGAGGAUGACUUCCAUAAGUAGGCCCACAGGUGCCCAGGGCUCCCCAUACCCACUGGGUGCCAGGUCUAAAACCAUGAGACCAGUACCAGCACCAACCACUCAAGGAGCUGAGACGGCUGACCCACUCUCUGCCCUGGCUAGGACUGGCCCCAGCACCCCCAGUGGGGAGGCCUCAAUGAUCCCAGCUGCCAGGGGCCCAGGAACACUAGCAACAGAAGAAUGGCCAAAGUGACAGGGAACCCUUGAGACCCUAGAGCAGCAAUGCCUGGGCCGGGCCUGAUCCUUCCCACCAGCCCCCAGCCAUUCCUGGCCUUCUGCCAUGCUUCCUGGUUGGUCUGCAAAGUGCCUGGGGCAAAUACCUUCUGGGAGAAGAGUAGAGAGGGUAUCCAGGCUCCAUGGGCCUCAGGAUUCCUGAAGUAGGAGGCUCUGAUGGGGCCACCCUGCUCUGGACAGAAAUUCCCUAGCCUCAGGGACAUGUUGAAUCUUGUCACCCAGAGGAACCAAGUGGCUGGGUGGUAGCCCAGUGCAGUGGCUCAUGCCUGUAACCUCAACACUUUGGGAGGCCAAGACAGGCAGAUCACGAGGUCAGGAGAUUGAGACCAUCCUGGC